rnacentral:rRNA from 1 species
UACGGAGGGUGCAAGCGUUAUCCGGAUUCACUGGGCUUAAAGGGUGCGUAGGCGGGCAGGUAAGUCAGUGGUGAAAUCUCUGGGCUUAACCCGGAAACUGCCGUUGAUACUAUUUGUCUUGAAUAUAGUGGAGGUGAGCGGAAUUCCGAGUGUAGAGGUGAAAUUCGUAGAUAUUCGGAAGAACACCAAUGGCGAAGGCGGCUCACUGGACUGGUAUUGACGCUGAGGCGCGAAAGCGUGGGGAGCAAACAGG